AGCUCCAGUAGCGUAUAUUAAAGUUGUUGCAGUUAAAAAGCUCGUAGUUGGAUUUCUGGCUUGACAGGUCUGACCCGCCGCGGUUACGCGUGUGAGUGUCGGAUCCUGUCUGCCAUCCUUCUAGAAAACUCUUCUGCCCUUCACUGGGUUGGAUUUGUGAUCUAGAUCUUUUACUUUGAAGAAAUUAGAGUGUUCAAAGCAGGCUUGCGUUAUGAAUACAUUAGCAUGGAAUAAUAAUUUAGGACUUUGGUUCUAUUUUGUUGGUUUCUAGAACUGAAGUAAUGAUUGAUAGGGAUCGUUGGGGGUGCUAGUAUUCAGCGGCCAGAGGUGAAAUUCUUGGAUUCGCUGAAGACUAACUUAUGCGAAAGCAUUCACCAAGGAGGUCUUCUUUAAUCAAGAA
rnacentral:rRNA from 1 species